rnacentral:rRNA from 1 species
AUUAAAAUUACUGUCAAAUCCACUUUAUAAAACCUUUAAAAAAUUCUAACCAUUUAAAUUUAUUUAUUGUAACCCAUUUCUUCUUAUUUAAAAGCUGCAUCUUGAUCUGACUUCUUUCUUUAUAGAGAAAAUUGACCAUUAAUUAUUCUUUUAAAAAAAUCAACCACGACGAUAUACAAACAAAAAAAAAAAUAAGUACAUAUAAUCGUGGAUUAUCAAUUACAGAACAGGUUCCUCUGAAAAGACUAAAAUACCGCCAAAUUCUUUUGUUUUCAAGAAAAUAACUAAUACUAACCAAGCUAAAAUUUUACAUUUAAAAUAAUA